GUGAACGCUGGCGGUAGGCCUAACCUAUGCAAGUCGAACGGCAGCACAGUAAGAGCUUGCUCUUACGGGUGGCGAGUGGCGGACGGGUGAGGAAUACAUCGGAAUCUACUUUUUCGUGGGGGAUAACGUAGGGAAACUUACGCUAAUACCGCAUACGACCUACGGGUGAAAGCAGGGGAUCUUCGGACCUUGCGCGAUUGAAUGAGCCGAUGUCGGAUUAGCUAGUUGGCGGGGUAAAGGCCCACCAAGGCGACGAUCCGUAGCUGGUCUGAGAGGAUGAUCAGCCACACUGGAACUGAGACACGGUCCAGACUCCUACGGGAGGCAGCAGUGGGGAAUAUUGGACAAUGGGCGCAAGACUGAUCCAGCCAUACCGCGUGGGUGAAGAAGGCCUUCGGGUUGUAAAGCCCUUUUGUUGGGAAAGAAAAGCAGCAGGUUAAUACCCCGCUGUUCUGACGGUACCCAAAGAAUAAGCACCGGCUAACUUCGUG
rnacentral:rRNA from 1 species